rnacentral:lncRNA from 1 species
GCUCCUGUAAGAAACUUGUAAUGGUUUGUACUGUAAUUUACGGACUUUAGUCCGCUCCCGGUGUACAUUUCCCAACAGUCAAAUUCAAAUUAAAAACAAUUUUUAUUUUUAGAUUGGCCACACCGUGGUAGAUAAUCUAUGUCGCUCCUAAAAUUAGCUGAGCAUUUUACCCUCAGCGUUUAGAGCUCAAGCAACUGCUAAUGGAAAGUAGUGUUUUGCACCAUUCAUUACCCUCUGGGCCAAAUUAUAAAGCCUUCCUUUCCUCAGGCCACUUCCUAACCUUAUGUGAGGAGCACUUCAUGCCUCCUUACCAUGAAGGAUGGAUGGAAGGAGCAGGUGUUUUCUGAAUGCUCCCUUCAACCAUCUUCACGAAAGGAAUCCUUUCAUUUGGUAAGGAAUCCUUCAUUGAGGGCGCCUCCGUAAAGAAGCUUUCAGAAUUAACGGGAUGUGGCUAAUUAACGGGAUGUGGCUUUGAAUGGGCUCUGCAACACCUUUAAUGAAAAGGGUAGAAUCUAGUAACUCGGUGCUACAAGGCAUCUUCUCACAAAUCAGUUACAACAAACAUUUUGAAGGAGCUAUGCAUUAAUGAAGUUAUCGGCAAAAACAUGCUGCUGACGCACCCUUGUGACCUUCCCCUUCUUUUCAUCAUUCCUACUGCACUCAGUGUCGUGUACCACACCCACUUGGAACAAUGCCACCGUUGAUCUGCCCACCAUUACUUUUGUAUUGACAUUGCCUUGAGAUCAUGUAGAAGGCUACACAUCUUUGAGGCCCUAGUAACAUGCAGUGGUAUGAUUUUCCACCAACAGAUGGGGCCGCUGCCUGUCAGUGAUGACAUUCCUCCACUUCGGUUUUGCUUAUGCUGGUGGCACUUUCUACCCAUGGUGUUUGAACAGAUCUGCCCCAUAGCCAUUGUGUUUGCUGGGUUUUUGAAUAGCUUCAAGAAAUGGGAAGCAGCCUCGUAAAUGAAAUUGUGGACUCUCAGGUGGAUUGACAGAAAUAUUUGGCUCAGAGGCUCAUGAUGGCAGCGCCUAGUGACUGUGCAAAUUUACUUAUCAUGUUCAAAACACAUUGCAUGGUCCCUUUAUAUUUUGUGACAUUCCAAACAAUGUUGUCAACUUUUUGAUGUGCCUUAUACUUUUAAUUUGUUGCAUAUAUAUUUUCAUUCUUAUUGAUAGAUGCCUUUAUGAACAUUAAGUUGGCAUGUGUAAUUAGCUAUUAUGAAUUGUUAUUUUUUCCAUAGAGAUGUUCAAGCAAGUUUGUUGGGGACUUUGAUCACAUGUUCAAAGCAUGUUAUAAUGUUGCUUACGAUGCAGUUCCCUAUUUCCUUGCUGAACAUUGUAUCACAGUGAUUUGAUUUUAUGCGAACUGUUUUAUGCAUCCUGUGUCCAUCUUUCAAUCAGUGCUUUGCUGCAAGCAAUCAUGUUUUAAGAAUGUGCUGAUAUAACAGAUAACACUGAGAGUGGCCACCUUGUGCAGCACUUUCUCUGCAUGCUUGUUGGCUACCUGAAUCUGCAUUCCGUCCAUUUUUACUGUUUACACUUGAGCACCAAAACCCUUGUGAAGAGCACUGUUGCUUGGAUUGUUACAAGUAAAUAGCAUAAAGAAAUGUAUUUUUACAUGUUCACCCAGUUUGUGAAUAAACAUACACAAUUU